rnacentral:misc_RNA from 1 species
GAUGAAGAACGUAGCGAAAUGCGAUAAGUAAUGUGAAUUGCAGAAUUCAGUGAAUCAUCGAAUCUUUGAACGCACCUUGCGCCCUUUGGCCAUUCCGAAGGGCAUGCCUGUUUGAGUAUCAUGAACACCUCAACUCUUUAUGGUUUUCCAUGAUGAGCUUGGACUCUGGGGGUUUUGCUGGCUCACAGUCGGCUCCUCUAAAAUGAAUCAGCUUACCAGUGUUUGGUGGGUAUCAUGGGUGUGAUAACUAUCUACGCUUGUGGUUUUCCACCAGGUAACCUUCAGCAGUGGAGGUUCGCUGGAGCUCAUAGAUGUCUCUCCUCAGUGAGGACAGCCCUUUGAAUGUUUGAUCUCAAAUCAGGUAGGACUACCCGCUGAACUUAAGCAUAUCAAUAAGCGGAGGA